UACAGUCCCUUUAAGCAUGGGAGUUAAAAUUUAGAGCAAAAAGGUGGUGGCGGGGAAAAUUCCUUCAGUUAUGAAUUUUUAUUAUGUAAAAAA